rnacentral:lncRNA from 1 species
AUGUAUUUUCAGCCUUAUGAAUGUCUUUUGAAAUAAUUUCUUACAAGUGCACUAAAUGCAUCUCUUAUAUUUAUUUUAAGGCCUUUUCCAUCAUCCUAGGAUAUGCAGCCGACGCAUUCUACGAUCCAUCACAUAAAUUUGAUCUAUCAAUCGAUAAAAAUGCUGAUCAAUGCAGGGAUUUUGGAUUCCCAAAACAAUUCUUUGAUGUGGAACAACAAUCAUGUCCGAAACACACGUGAUCCUUCAGCUAUAUUACAGCACUAGCACAAAUUUAUCAUUAGACACAAUUUAUUUAUGACGAAGUUUAUUUAUAAGCUGAUAUUUUCAAUUAUUAUUUAAUACGUAAAUAACUG